GACAUAGGUCGCAAACGUUAUCCGGAAUUAUUGGGCGUAAAGGGUGCGUAGUUUGUUUGAUAAGUUACCAGUGAAAGCGAGGCCUAACCUCGUGGUAGCGGGUAAUACUAUCAGACUAGAGGAGAGGAGAGGUUAAUGGAACUCCAUGUGGAGCGGUAAAAUGCGUAGAUAUAUGGAAGAACAUCAAGAAUGGCGAAGGCAAUUAACUAUUCUCUUUCUGACGUUGAGGCACGAAAGCGUGGGGAGCAAAACGG
rnacentral:rRNA from 1 species